rnacentral:lncRNA from 1 species
UUCAUAAAAAAAAAAAGUAUUUUCUGUGUUUUAAAAGCAUGGAAGUUUAAUCACUUGGUUGUAUAUUAUGAGGAACCCAUUGAAGAGCAUGUGUCUAUAUUAUUCGACUUCAAGGCGUUCAAAAUCUACAAUACAAUUUUUAGUCGAGGCAAUGUUUUGUAUUUGAUAUAGAAUCAAGAAGUUAGAGUUUAUAUACCUUAUGUUGAUUGAAUAUUACUUAAUGAAUUGAUAUGUCG